rnacentral:rRNA from 1 species
CACGUAGUUAGCCGGGGCUUCUUAGUUAGGUACCGUCAUUUUCUUCCCUGCUGAUAGAGCUUUACAUACCGAAAUACUUCAUCGCUCACGCGGCGUCGCUGCAUCAGGGUUUCCCCCAUUGUGCAAUAUUCCCCACUGCUGCCUCCCGUAGGAGUCUGGGCCGUGUCUCAGUCCCAAUGUGGCCGGUCACCCUCUCAGGUCGGCUACUGAUCGUCGGCUUGGUGAGCCGUUACCUCACCAACUACCUAAUCAGACGCGGGCCCAUCUUACACCACCGGAGUUUUUACCUCAGAACCAUGCGGUUCCGCGGUCUUAUGCGGUAUUAGCAGUCAUUUCUAACUGUUAUCCCCCUGUGUAAGGCAGGUUGCCCACGCGUUACUCACCCAUCCGCCGCUCAGUCACAAUCAUCUUCAUCCGAAGAAUCCAAUCAAAGUGCUUCGCUCGACUUGCAUGUGUUAGGCACGCCGCCAGCGUUCAUCCUGACGCCAGGAU